GACGAACGCUGGCGGCGUGCUUAACACAUGCAAGUCGAACGCAGUCUUCGGACUGAGUGGCGCACGGGUGAGUAACACGUAACUGACCUACCCCCAAGUCGCGAAUAACCAGCCGAAAGGAUGGCUAAUACGUGAUGUGAUGAUCCGCUGUGGCGGAUCAUUAAAGACUUGAUCGCUUGGGGAUGGGGUUGCGUUCCAUCAGCUAGUUGGUAAGGUAAAGGCUUACCAAGGCAACGACGGAUAGCCGGCCUGAGAGGGUGGCCGGCCACAGGGGCACUGAGACACGGGUCCCACUCCUACGGGAGGCAGCAGUUAGGAAUCUUCCACAAUGGGCGCAAGCCUGAUGGAGCGACGCCGCGUGAGGGAUGAAGGUUCUCGGAUCGUAAACCUCUGAACCAACGACGAAAGACCCGACAAGGGAGAUGACGGUAGUUGGGUAAUAGCACCGGCUAACUCCGUGCCAGCCGCCGCAGUAAUAC
rnacentral:rRNA from 1 species